rnacentral:misc_RNA from 1 species
CCCAGUCCAGUUUCGACAACAAAAGUUGCAUCUUCUCAGCCCACCUUCCCCCCUGUACAACCGCAACAAGGAGCAACCUAUCAAUCCACUUCGUUCGGCGACUCACGUUUCCGUCCGUGUCUCUCUUUCUCCCCCGCUCUCCAUAUUUCCUGUGCUCCCUUCACAGACACACACGCACGCACGCACACAUCUCCAUGCAUAUACAUUUAUAUAUGUAUAGGCACUUUGUUUUCUCUAGUAUUUGCUGAGUUUCCUCUUUUGUUUUCACUGUGCGGUGUGCAUCCCCCCUUGCUUCAUCCGAAAGGAUUCACACACACACACACACACACAGACGCUGACAUUCUCGUUGAGUUCACGCACAGCGCUGCGCUUUGAGCUGAGAUACGUUUGAGCGCAAAGGAGGUCACGCCGCAAGCACGGUAGGCGAGCUUUACGCAUACACUCACACUUGCUCUACUAUUCCUGCUCACCGCGAAAGAACAUCUACACCGAAAACGCGACAUCACCUACAAAAUGAACACCCACCCACCUCAGCUGAUGGAGGCGACGUCCGCGAAGAUAGUGAUGCUCGGUGAGUCCGGUGCUGGCAAGAGCUCCAUCGCGCUCCGCUUUACGCGCAACGAGUUCUUAGCCAACCAGGAGACCACCAUCGGUGCUGCCUUUCUGUCCAAGACGGUGAUGAUACCGCCACCGCGCGGAGUCGCGGCUGCCCCCGGCGGUGCCACCUCUGCUCAAACUCUUCAGCAACAGAUGCGAGCACUGAAGUACGAAAUUUGGGAUACGGCGGGGCAGGAGCGCUUCCGCUCUCUCGCCCCGAUUUACUACCGCGGCGCCUGCGGUGCUCUUGUCGUGUAUGAUAUCACGAAUAGCGAGAGCCUCAAGAAGGCUCAGACUUGGAUCAAAGAGCUCCGAGCAAACGCAGACCCGUCACUCAUUAUUGUGCUCGUCGGAAACAAGAAGGACCUGGAGUCUCUGCGGCAGGUGUCCUUCGAGGAUGGCCAGCGUCUCGCUGCUGAGGAGCAGCUCGCCGCCUUCUACGAGGCGUCUGCAAAGGACAACAACAAUGUGGAGCAGGUGUUUCUCGAUUUAGCUGCCAAGCUCCUCGACCAGGGCUUGGGCAACCGUGGCGGGACUGCUGGAGGUGCACGCGGCGGCGUGGUUGCACCGCGCGGCGAGCGCGUGGAACAGAGCAACGAAUCGGUCUCCCAGUCUACCUGCUGCUGAUCCCCUCUCCGGACUACCUUCGUGUUGCCAUCCUCCUCUCUCCUCCUCUCCCUCCUCUGUGGCGUUGUUUGUUCUCGAAGAAGCAACGUCAAAGGGUCGAUGCAACCAUACAAGGAACGGAAGAGGAAGAGAGAGAGAGAGCUGCACAGCACAGACGAAUUCCCAGCUGAGUGCACCUCAGCUGAGCGCGACGCAAUGCGGAUUCCGCUGCCGCGUUCUCCACGGCCUAGAAUCGCCUUUUCUUGUGCUUUUGAUCCCUUCCUCUGUUUUUUAUAUGUUACUUGCCCUGCGCGCUCACCGCCCCUUUUCGUUUUUGACUUUGUCGGUGGCUUUGACUGCUGUGUGUGCUUUUCCCCUUUCUCUCCCUCUCCCUUAUCUGUGAUUUGCGCCUUUGCUCUGUCGACACCAUCCACGUAUGACAGAAUCAGCUGCUGAGGUGCACGCCGCAGCGCAUGCGCACGAACGGAAACGCCAAGACACCAGCCCUCGUCUCUUUUGGUUUCCUUUUGUUUUCCGGUGCUUCCAGCUGCUGCUGUUGUGCCCGACACUCCUGCCUGCACGUGUGGGCUAUACAAAAACAAGCGCGCAAACAUACACAUAGUGAAACUCGGCGCGCGUGCACGAAGUUCCUUGGGUAAAGACGUAGCCAGCAGCAACCGAGCGUGACUUUCGGAUUCAAGGCCGCGGCUUUCUUUCUCUCUCUCCUUGCUUUGUCCUCUACGCGUAUAGCACGACUCUCUUACACAUUUCUCUGAGGCUCGAUUAGUCUUGCGCGUGUGCGCCACACAUGCCAACAAGAGACAUACAACCGCACCCACACACGCACAUGCUCACAGACGCGUUGCGGUUAUGAGAAACGAAAAAUAGGAACGACAAAGCGGGCCAGGGUGUGGGGAUCGACAGUGGGUCUCAGCACUGUGCCGUUUAUUCGCUCCUCUUCUCCUCUCUCUCUGCCCUCACCCUUGCAUGCUCGCCAAUGGACGUGCUGUCCACUUGACCCUUGUAUGUGUGUUGUCUCUGCUCGCACGUUGCUUCGUCUUGAGCGACUGUUCAAAGGAAGAAGGCAGUGCCAUGUUGCCAGCACUGCCAAGCGGGGUCUGCGCUACGCUACCGAGAUGAUUGCUGUGCAGACAUGCCCAGGCAACCGAACAAAGACGAAUAGUAGUACAAAGAAAAGCACUGGCCACGGCGACGCCAUCGACACGGAAGAGGAGGAGCCGCGGAGAGCGGUAGAGGGGAUGGUGGGAAACAGUAGAAGAAACAGUGCCCCAUCUUAUUCAUUUUUCUUUUUGCCUUGGCGGAUCAACUGCUUUCGUUUAUGCUUUUCGGUGCUGCUGCAUGCUUGCUCGAUAAGCGUUUCUCUGCUACAACCCCCUCCCUCUUACGCUCUUCUUCCGUUUUUUUUUUCGUAUCGCGCUGUGUCUUUGUGCUUCUCUUUCUAUGAUGGCUGUCUGAG